CAGCACCUCAAGUGGUCAGGAUGAUUAUUGGGCCUAAAGCAUCCGUAGCCGGCGCUGUAAGUUUUCGGUUAAAUCUGUACGCUCAACGUACAGGCUGCCGGGAAUACUGCAGCGCUAGGGAGUGGGAGAGGUAGACGGUACUCGGUAGGAAGGGGUAAAAUCCUUUGAUCUAUUGAUGACCACCUGUGGCGAAGGCGGUCUACCAGAACACGCCCGACGGUGAGGGAUGAAAGCUGGGGGAGCAAACCGGAUUAGAGACCCGAGUAGUCC
rnacentral:rRNA from 1 species